CAUGCAAGUCGAACGGGAUCUGCGUGGCCUUUGUGGUUGUGUGGUGAGAGUGGCGAACGGGUGAGUAACACGUGAGUAACCUGCCUUUUUCUUUGGGAUAACGCUCAGAAAUGGGUGCUAAUACUGGAUGUUCUGCGCUUUCCGCAUGGGGGGUGUGGGAAAGGGGCCUUUUAAGUUUCUGGAGGGAGAUGGGCUCGCGGCUUAUCAGCUUGUUGGUGGGGUGAUGGCUUACCAAGGCUUUGACGGGUAGCCGGCCUGAGAGGGUGGGCGGUCACAUUGGGACUGAGAUACGGCCCAGACUCCUACGGGAGGCAGCAGUGGGGAAUUUUGCACAAUGGGGGGAACCUUGAUGCAGCGACGCCGCGUGAGGGAUGGAGGCCUUCGGGUUGUGAACCUCUUUCGCUCGUGUGCAAGCCGCUAUUUGGGUAGUGGUGAGUGUAGCGGGUAAAGAAGCGCCGGCUAACUACGUGCCAGCAGCC
rnacentral:rRNA from 1 species